GCAGUAGCCGCGGUAACACGAAGGGUGCAAGCGUUACUCGGAAUUACUGGGCGUAAAGCGUGCGUAGGUGGUGGUUUAAGUCCGUUGUGAAAGCCCUGGGCUCAACCUGGGAAUUGCAGUGGAUACUGGGUCACUAGAGUGUGGUAGAGGAUAGUGGAAUUUCCGGUGUAGCAGUGAAAUGCGUAGAGAUCGGAAGGAACAUCUGUGGCGAAGGCGACUAUCUGGGCCAACACUGACACUGAGGCACGAAAGCGUGGGGAGCAAACAGGAUUAGAUACCCCCGUAGUCCCUGUCUCUUAUAC
rnacentral:rRNA from 1 species